CAUAACCUGCAGGUGUUUCCAGCAAGGGGAUAAGAGAGGCCUGGCAAGGAAUGUGCCCAGCCUACGGCCUCAGGGAGCAGAAUCAAGGCACACCUCCACCAUGGCCUGGACCCCUCUCCUCCUCGGAUUCCUGGCUCACUGUGCAGGUUCCGUGGCCUCCUAUGCGCUGACUCAGCCGCCCUCAGUGUCAGUGACCCUGGGACAGACGACCAGCAUCACCUGUGGGGGAGACAACAUUGGAAGUACAUACGUUUCCUGGCACCAGCAGAAGCCUGGCCAGGCACCCGUGACGAUUAUCUAUACCGAUAGCAACCGGCCCUCAGGGAUCCCUGAUCGGUUUGCCGGCUCCAACUCAGGUCAGCCCAAGUCCGCACCCUCGGUCACGCUCUUCCCGCCCUCGUCUGAGGAACUGGGCGCCAACAAGGCCACCCUGGUGUGCCUCGUCAGUGACUUCUACCCCGGCGCCGUGACGGUGGCCUGGAAGGCAGACGGCAGCACCAUCACCCAGGGUGGAGACCACCAAGCCCUCCAAACAGAGCAACAACAAGUACGCGGCCAGCAGCUACCUGAGCCUGUCGCCUGACAAGUGGAAAUCUCACAGCAGCUUCAGCUGCCUGGUCACGCACGAGGGGAGCACCGUGGAGAAGAAGGUGGCCCCCGCAGAGUGCUCCUAGGUCCCCGACACCCUCCCCCACACACGGGGGCCUGGAGCCACAGGACCUCCAGGAGGGUUUGCCCUCCCACCAGGGUCAUCCCAGCCCUUCUCCCUGCACCCAGUCAAGACUCAAUAAAACGUCCUUUCUUCAAUCAGAAA